GACGAACGCUGGCGGCGUGCCUAAUACAUGCAAGUCGAACGCACAGUUUAUACCGUAGCUUGCUACACCAUAGACUGUGAGUUGCGAACGGGGGAGUAACGCGUAGGUAACCUGCCUGGUAGCGGGUGAUAACUAUUGGAAACGAUAGCUAAUACCGCAUAAUAUUUAUUAUUGCAUGGUAAUUUAUUGAAAGAUGCAACUGCAUCACUACCAGAUGGACCUUCGUUGUAUUAGCUAGUAGGUGAGGUAACGGCUCACCUAGGCGACGAUACAUAGCCGAACGGCGAGGGUGAGCGGCCGCACUGGGACGGGGACACGGCCCAGAGUCCUACGGGAGGCAGCAGUAGGGAAUCGUCGGCAAGGGGCGAAAGACUGACCGAGCAACGCCGCGGGAGUGAAGAAGGUUUUCGGGUCGGAAAGGUCUGUUGUAAGGGAAUAACGGGUGUGAGAGUGGAAAGUUCACAGUGUGACGGUAUCUUACCAGAAAGGGACGGCUAACUACGUG
rnacentral:rRNA from 1 species